GAGGUCAUAUUUGGGGCCACACCCCCGAGCCCCUUGCGCAAUUAUGAGCAAAAACAAAACAAAACAAAACAAAACCCACACAGGUGGGGGUGCUGAUUGUACGCGACUGCUGGGGAUGUGGUGUUGGCGUCUGUGGGUUUGUGCCCUGUGAGUAUAUGUGGUUUUGCAGUUGGGGUGUGGGCACCCACGUCAGCCCUCGUGGCGCCUGAAGUGUGCGUAGACGAGCCUUUAGCGUUGGAACUAGUGUCUCCGGGAUCGGCCGCGAGAACGAGAUCGAGAAGAGACUAAGAGGAAGGGAGAGACAGUACAACACUGAUUUCACCAUCCAUGGAGCUUUCCCCAGUGCUAAGGAGAGGCUUCACUACUUCAGGCCAACUUUUUCAGAUCAGAAGACAAAGAGAGAAGUAAGAAGGAAAGAUAACACAACACUGAAACUUUUCCCAUGUGAUGAGGCUUGAACCUGGGUCAUGGACAUAGCAAAUAUGGACCCAGGAUCAUUAUGGGAUGCGGAAGUUGGAAGGUCUGGCUUCUGUAAUUGUUUCUCCACUGAACAUGGGCAUUGACAGUGGGACAGGGUUCUGGAGAACUGGGGAUCCAGGAUACAUUGGUGAGGCCAUCUGCCCAGGGAAGUCAGGUUGGCAUCAUGGUAGCAUCUGCAACUUGGUGGCUGAAAAGCAUUAAGAUGUAAAGCAGAACAAUUUGUUUAAUAAUCAGGAACCUAAAGAAUAAUGCUGUUUUAAAACUCAAAAUCACUUCAUAUGUGAGCCAGGAAGAAAGUUAUGUGGGCUUCUGAAGGGGGGUGAAUACUAUAUGAAUGAAACCACCAGGUUCCAGAUGAUACCAUGAUGCCAACCUGACUUCCCUGGACAGAUGACCCCACCAAUGUGUCCUGGAACUCCACUUCCUCAGAGCCCUGCCCCACUAAGGAAAGAGACAGACAGGCUGGGAGUAUGGAUCAACCUGCCAAUGCCCAUGUUCAGUGGGGAAGCAAUUACAGAAGCUGGACCUUCCACCUUCUGCACCCCAUAAUGACCCUGGGCCCAUACUCCCAGAGGCAUAAAGAAUAGGAAAGCCAUCAGGGGAGGGGAUGGGAUACAGAGCUCUGGUGAUGGGAACUGUACCCCUCUUAUCCUAUGGUUUUGUCAGUGUUUCCAUUUUAUAAAUAAAUACAUUAAAAGAAAAAAA